rnacentral:rRNA from 1 species
GAUGAACGCUGGCGGCGUGCCUAAUACAUGCAAGUCGAGCGAACAGACGAUGAGCUUGCUCCUCUGACGUUAGCGGCGGGCGUGUGAGUAACACGUGGAUAACCUACCUAUAAGUCUGGUAUAACUUCGGGAAACCGGCUCUAAUACCGUAUAACAUGUUGAACCGCAUUGUUCAACAGUGAGAGACGGUCUUGCUGUCACUUAUAGAUGGAUCCGCGCCGCAUUAGCUAGUUGGUAAGGUAACGGCUUACCAAGGCAACGAUGCGUAGACGACGGCAGAGGGUGAUCGCCCACCCUGGAAGUGAGCCACGGUCCAGACGCCUACGGGAGGCAGCAGUAGCGAAUCGUACGCAAUAGGCGAGAGUCUGACGGAGUAACGGCGAGUGAGUGAAGAAGGUCUUCGGAGCGUAAAACUCUCCUACGAGUGAAGAACAAAUGUGUAAGUAAACAAGGCGGUAUUGACGGUAAUUAAUAAGAAAGCAACGGCUAACUACGUG